UCCACAUGAACAAACAAAGAAAAUUAAUGUUCUUGAACUUUAAAAAAGAUAGAAAAUGGUU
rnacentral:snoRNA from 1 species